UGCGGGACUAUCAGUCUUGCAAUUGGAUUGAGAACAAUGUACAACUCUUAUCGAUAAGCCAUUGGAGGGCAAGUCUGGUGCCAGCAGCCGCGGUAAUUCCAGCUCCAAUAGCGUAUAUUAACGUUGUUGCAGUUAAAAAGCUCGUAGUUGAAGUGUGGGUGAUCGCUGUUGUGAGACUUCGGUCUCUCGACAGUAAGUCACCCCCUUCCAGUAUCCAGUAGUGGGUAUUCAGUUACUUACUAUUGUGUGUUGGUCCUUUACUGUGAGAAAAUUAGAGUGUUCAAAGCAGGCGUUUGCUUGAAUAGAUUAGCAUGGAAUAAUAAUUGAAGGCUUUCGUGUUCGAUUUGAUUGGUUUGUUCAUGGAAGCAAGGUUAAAAGGAACAGUUGGGGGUAUUCAUAUUCACUAGUUAGAGGUGAAAUUCUCGGAUUUAUGGAAGAUGAACAA
rnacentral:rRNA from 1 species